rnacentral:rRNA from 1 species
ACGGAAGGCAGCAGUGGGGAAUAUUGGGCAAUGGGCGCAAGCCUGACCCAGCAACGCCGCGUGAGGGAUGAAGGUUUUCGGAUUGUAAACCUCUGUCCUUGGUGACGAACGCAAUGACGGUAGCCAAGGAGGAAGCCCCGGCUAACUACGUGCCAGCAGCCGCGGUAAUACGUAGGGGGCAAGCGUUAUCCGGAUUUACUGGGUGUAAAGGGAGCGUAGACGGCUUUGCAAGUCUGAAGUGAAAGCCCGGGGCUCAACCCCGGAACUGCUUUGGAAACUGUAGAGCUAGAGUGCAGGAGAGGUAAGUGGAAUUCCUAGUGUAGCGGUGAAAUGCGUAGAUAUUAGGAGGAACACCAGUGGCGAAGGCGGCUUACUGGACUGUAACUGACGUUGAGGCUCGAAGGCGUGGGGAGCAAACAGGACUAGAUACCCUGGUA